rnacentral:rRNA from 1 species
GAUGAACGCUGGCGGCGUGCCUAAUACAUGCAAGUCGAGCGAACGGACGAGAAGCUUGCUUCUCUGAUGUUAGCGGCGGACGGGUGAGUAACACGUGGAUAACCUACCUAUAAGACUGGGAUAACUUCGGGAAACCGUAGCUAAUACCGGGUAAUAUUUUGAACCGCAUGGUUCAAAAGUGAAAGACGGUCUUGCUGUCACUUAUAGAUGGAUCCGCGCUGCAUUAGCUAGUUGGUAAGGUAACGGCUUACCAAGGCAACGAUGCAUAGCCGACCUGAGAGGGUGAUCGGCCACACUGGAACUGAGACACGGUCCAGACUCCUACGGGAGGCAGCAGUAGGGAAUCUUCCGCAAUGGGCGAAAGCCUGACGGAGCAACGCCGCGUGAGUGAUGAAGGUCUUCGGAUCGUAAAACUCUGUUAUUAGGGAAGAACAUAUGUGUAAGUAACUGUGCACAUCUUGACGGUACCUAAUCAGAAAGCCACGGCUAACUACGUGC